rnacentral:antisense_RNA from 1 species
AACCGACAUCAAGGAUUCAUUCUGAGACCCCUGACCGACCGCCAGAUAGGCAUUCAUGCCCAGCUCUUUCAUCUGCUGUUCGCCAAUCACGCGAGUAAUGAUGUUCUGACUGUAGGUAUCGGCCAGUUGGCGCGCCUGAGAAGCCAGAUAGGCGGCAUUACAGAUAUUGGGCGGCAUGUUGCCCAGAUCUUUCGC